AGCGAACGCUGGCGGCAGGCCUAACACAUGCAAGUCGAACGAAGUCUUCGGACUUAGUGGCGGACGGGUGAGUAACACGUGGGAACGUACCUUUUGGUUCGGAACAACUCAGGGAAACUUGAGCUAAUACCGGAUGAGCCCUUAGGGGGAAAGAUUUAUCGCCGAAAGAGCGGCCCGCGUUAGAUUAGCUAGUUGGUGAGGUAAAGGCUCACCAAGGCUACGAUCUAUAGCUGGUCUGAGAGGAUGAUCAGCCACACUGGGACUGAGACACGGCCCAGACUCCUACGGGAGGCAGCAGUGGGGAAUCUUGCGCAAUGGGCGAAAGCCUGACGCAGCCAUGCCGCGUGAAUGAUGAAGGUCUUAGGAUUGUAAAAUUCUUUUACCAGGGACGAUAAUGACGGUACCUGGAGAAAAAGCCCCGGCUAACUUCGUGCCAGCCGCCGCCGUAAAAC
rnacentral:rRNA from 1 species